GGAGUUGUGGCUCAGUGGUAGAGCACUUGCCUGGCAUGUGUGAGGCCCUGGGUUCAAUCCUCAGCACCA
rnacentral:tRNA from 1 species